rnacentral:lncRNA from 10 species
AUCCACCCAAGACCCGGUUCCUCGAUUCCCAUCCUUACGACCGAGGAAAAAAGAGUAAAUUUUCCUAUUAUAGCCUUCUCUCGCACCUUCCCCGCUUCCCACCAGCCGUCUCCACUGUCCUCACCGUCCCCAUCCUCAUCCAUGGCGAAAUCUUCGCCCCCAGCCUCGUGAAGAUCUAGCACGUCCGCCAUCUCGCCUUCGAUCGAGAUCUCGUCUGUGCCGCUCAGACACUAGAUGCUGUUGACUGGGGCAAAGAAUAAUGGGAGAAAAACAGCUGGGUCCUAAAUAACAGAGGGAAACCAACUUUCAAUAAAGUAUUCAACAACUAAUCCACAAAGCAGAUAACUGAACUUGCUGGCCUGCUCUAUAGUGCUGUUGCUUAAAAAGUCAUCUGUGAAGAAAACCAGAGGGAGAAAUUUCACCUGCCAAAGUGGAUAAAGAGAUGGGAAAAGUGAGGCCCAGAGAUUUGCCCCAUUGAUAUUCAGAAGAAUGUAAAUUUGGAUCUCCUAACUCUUAGAUGAGUACUGUUUCCAGCAUACAUAGUCCCUCCGAUUUGACCUCUUAGAGAACUCCAACAUUGCUUUCUUUAGUAAUUGCCUACGAAAAAGUACUGGAGGCAAGGAAUAUUGUUCUAUAUCCUCAAUAAGAGAUGGAAGAAAGUUGGAAUGCAAUAACUGAAGCCAGAUUGGAACAUGGGUUGGAUGCUGGACUGUGCUUGCAGCAAGAAAUAUUGAGGGAUGAGGUAC